rnacentral:lncRNA from 1 species
AUGCCAGAGGGCAGGAACCCCCCCGGGGUGCUCCCUCCUUGUCCCACUCCCUUACGCCUAGCUGCCACCAGUGCUGGAGAGGGUCCCUGGGGCAAUGGUGGGGUGACAAAAGGGGUCCGAGUGCCGUGGGGCCAUGGGUGUCCCCGUUGUUCUCCCCGAGCAUCCCCAUCCUGCGGGCAGCGGGUCCUUGUUCCGUGCUGCAGGUGCCGGGUGGGGAAACUGAGGCACGGUAAAGUGGCUCGAACGGCACCUCCAGCAAGGGGCUGGGGGACGGAGCUGGGGGGGGGUCUCGGGUGUUUGCCCCAGCGGGAAGGGAAGGAGCAGGGGGGCCAAGGGCGGGCGGCCGCUUGGGCAGGACCCCGCAGGGCAGGACCCCGCUGCUGCCCACCCGGCUGUCGGUGCGGAGCCCUGCGGGGAGCCCCGGGCUCUCCCCUUCCGCACACGUCAGCCCCGCUCGCUCCUCGCCCGCUCCCGCCGGGCAGAGGCGAGCGGCGGCGGCGGCAGCAUCCCAGCGGCGCGCGAUGGCUGGCGGAGCGGCCGCAGGCGCUCGACGAACGUGAGUCAGCAAAGGAGCCGGGAAGGGCUGAGCCCUUCGCUGCGGGGCUCGGGGGGGGGGUGGUGGUGGUGGGCUGCAGCCUUUCCCGGUGCUUUUUUAAGAAAGGGAUUUAUUUAUUUUUUUGGGGGUGGCGGGAGGGUUGUCCUGAGCUGGUGGGCGACGCAACAGGAUGCAGGGGGGCGGCAGCGCGGGCAGAGCUGUGCCCCGAUGCGCCCCGCUGCGCUCAGCAUCGCCGGUGUCUGUGCCUUGCCGUUCUGCCCUCGUUUGCCGGAGCUGGACGGGGGCCGGGGCAGGUGGCACCCUGGGGUGUCUGCCGAAUGCCACCCCCCCGUCCCCUGCUGUCCCCCAAGCCUGGGGCCGGGGCUCUGUGUUGCCUGCCUUGCGGGCAGUGCUGGAGCAUCCCCGCUCGGGGGCUGGCCCCCGGUGAUGCAGCAGUUCCCGCUGCCUUGCCCGGCCAGGCUGGGGAUGCACCGAGCUGGCCGCUCUCGGCAUGA